CCUACGGGUGGCAGCAGUGAGGAAUAUUUGUCAAUGGACGAGAGUCUGAACCAGCCAAGUAGCGUGAAGGAUGACUGCCCUAUGGGUUGUAAACUUCUUUUAUAAAGGAAUAAAACGAUGAAAGUGUGCCUUUUUGCAUGUACGUUAUGAAUAAGGAUGGGAUAACUCCGGGCCAGCAGCCGCGGUAAUACGACGGAGCCGAGCGUUAUCUGGAUUUAUUGGGUUUAAAGGGACCGUAGAUGGGUUGUUAAGUCAGUUGUGAAAGUUUGCGGCUCAACCGUAAAAUUGCAAUUGAUACUGUCAGUCUUGAGUACAGUUGAGGUGGGCAGAAUUCGUGGUGUAGCGGUGAAAUGCUUAGAUAUCACGAAGAACCCCGAUUGCGAAGGCAGCUUACUAAACUGUGACUGACAUUGAUGCUCGAAAGUGUGGGUAUCAAACAGGAUUAGAUACCCGUGUAGUC
rnacentral:rRNA from 1 species